CCUACGGGUGGCAGCAGUGAGGAAUAUUGGUCAAUGGCCGGAAGGCUGAACCAGCCAAGUCGCGUGAGGGACGACUGCCCUAUGGGUUGUAAACCUCUUUUAUAAGGGAAGAAGAAAUGCUACGUGUAGCAUGAUGCCUGUACCUUAUGAAUAAGCAUCGGCUAACUCCGUGCCAGCAGCCGCGGUAAUACGGAGGAUGCGAGCGUUAUCCGGAUUUAUUGGGUUUAAAGGGUGCGUAGGCGGUUUUUCAAGGUAGUGGUUAAACGUCGGGGCUUCACCUUGAUUUGCCAUUAAUACUGUCAGCCUCGAGUUCAGACGAGGUAGGCGGCAUCCGUUCCGUCGCGGUGAAAUGCUUAGAUAUAACU
rnacentral:rRNA from 1 species